AGAUACUUUAUAAGCUGGAUAUUGCGAAGUCAUGUGGCACCGUAAAGUUCUGCGUUAUAGCCAGUGACCUGUACAUAACAGGGAAGAAAGUGCUCGAAUCUUUUGGAAAGAACGUGACAGCGGAGACGCAUUUCCUAAAGACAACCGUGUUGAAUCCGGUGACCUAGCCAUCGUGCUAUAUUCCAGCGGAACAACUGGUCUACCAAAAGGAGUACCUUGGACUCACAAGCAACUAGUUGCUCACAUGCGUGUGCACAGCAUUAACGUCAGAGAAGAAGAUGUGUUUAUACUAGCGCUGCCUCUGGCGCAUGUUGGUGGCACACUAUUGACGAUGAGCGCUUUAGCCCUUGGUGCUGCGUUCUUAGUCCUGCCUUACCUCAGUACUCCUGAGGAAUACAGUCAAGCUAUUAACAAGUACAAGGUCAGUUAUCUUUUAUGCAUCCCUCCGUUGGUCGUGAGCUUAAUAAAGAAGCGGUGCCAACUGCCAACAGUCGAACGCUGUGACGCAGGUGGCAGUACCCGCAGCCCAGCAAUUCUCAAAGAAGCCAAAAUUACACAUCC